CGGCCAGGGCGCCUCCUGCUCCCGGCACGCACCGCCGCUGAGCGGGCCGCGCUCGCCCCUUGCGCCCGGCGCCUGGCGCUUGCUGCGAUCAGGUCGGGGCUGCAGAGGCUCCCGGCGGCCCGCGUCCGGCGUAGGGGACGGGGCUGUCUGCAAGCAUGAGGAACGCCGGGGGUGGCGGGGCCUGGUACCGCCGGAGAGUUCGAGCAUGGAGGCUACAAGUGCCUCCCGGGAGCAGCCGCCAGCCAGAGCCGUGCGAUGCCCGCGCAGCCUUAUGAUGAGCCGCAGCCUAAUGAGAGGCUAGCUGGGACCGCAGCUACGCGCUACGGUUUCUUGAAGCCAGGCGAUGAAGAUGAAUCAUCUUGGGCUGGUUGUCUGCUCUUUUCUCUGCAAAUAAACCAGCAGCGCAAAAUACUUUUAGUCUGGUUACAGGUAGUGCCUGCUUCGUUUCAGAGGUCUGAAGUAUUUGCUGCUUCAUGUUCAGUUCUGACAACAUUUUCUCAAGAAACUGAUGCUACAUAAAGUCACUGAAGAAAAAUCCUGGCAUUUUGGAGAAAGUUGACAUGGCAUGGAGGGGAGUGUGCAGCCCAUUCCUUAGUUAAUCAGAGAUAAAUCAUAACCCCUACAGAACAUUAAGAGUGGCACAUGAGAGGUAUCUGAGGACUGGAGGAAAUCCAGUGCCACUCCAGUCUUCAGAAGAGGCAAGAAAGAGGACCCAGGAAACUACAGGCCAGUCAACUUCACCUCCAUCCCUGGAAAGGUGAUGAACCAGCUCGUCUGGAGGUCAUCUCUAAACACACGGAAAAAAAAAGGUUAUCAGGAGUAGUCAUCAUGGAUUCACCAAAGGGAAAUCAGGUUUUACAGAUCUGACAGUUUGCUAGUUUGCUAUGACGGAAUGACUCUGUAGAUGAAAGGUGUUGUGUAGCUUGACUUCAGCAAGGCUUUUGAUGCUAUCUCCCGUAACAUCUUCAUAGGUAAACUCAGAAAGCAUGGAUUAGAUGAGUGGACUCUGGGGUGGACUGAGAACUAUCUAAGGAACAGAGCUCAGAGUGUUGUUAUAGAGGUGCAGAGUCCAGCUGGAAGCCUGUGGCUGGUGGUGUUCUCCAGGGCUCAGUACUUUGUCCAGUCUUGUUUAACGUCUUCAUCAGCAACCCUGAUGAAGGGACAGAGUUUAUGGUCAGCAAGUUUGCUCAUGAUAUGAAACUGGGAGUAUUGGCUGACAUGUCAGAUAGCUGUGCUGCUUUUCAGCAAGACCUGGACAGACUGGAGAGUUGAGUGAAGUGGAACCUAAUGAAGUUCAACAAGGGUAAGUGUAGGGUGCUGCAUGUGGCACAAACAACUCCAUGUACCAGUACAGGUGCUGGAAAGCAGCUCUAUGGAAGAGGAGUCCUGUUGGACAAAACCAUGACUUGCUUUAUUUGGACUUCACUGGAUUCUUCUCUGAGAAAAUGAGCUCUACUGCAACCACCUCAUCUGUUUCUGCAGAAAAAAACCAAAGAUAAAAUACAGUGUGUAUUACUUCUCUCAUUAACCUUUUCCUCUUCCGUGUCUCAGCCUGCUGUCACACAAAUGUUGAUUCAUCCUUUCUCUUCCUUCCUUUCUCAUUAUCCCCUCCUAUUAUGUAUGUCUACUUCAUCCUGCCUUUUUUCCCUUCUAUUUCUCUAAAUCCUUAAGCUUUCUCUCAAAUAAAUGUGAGUAGUCACAGGCCUCCUCUGCCAUGAACCACCCAGUUGCAUUCUUUUUCUGUAGCUGUCACUUCAUCUGCUUCACUCUUGUUACCACUAACCUCUCCAAAUGUGCUAUCCAAAGAUGCUAUAAUUAUGUUCUACAUCCCCUUCAUUCUUUUCUCCAUCAGCUAGAGCUCACAUUGCUGUCUCUAGUUAGUACCUCAGACAUGAAGGCCUGUGUUUCAUCGUUAUCUGUUUGACUGGUGGACUGCUAAUGAAACUUGCAUUCCUCUUCUGAAAUCCAGUAAACACUUAAACCCCCCCAUGUUGCUUUGUUUAAAAAAAACACCUCCUUUCCUGAUCUUCCCUUCUGCUUCUUCUGUCCAUGCUUUUUCUUAACUCUCUGGUCAUUCUUGUCAACAAAUACAGCUUUGAAAAUAAUUCUUAUGUUUGUCUUUUUAAUUUCUACUUGAUGAUGUUUGGGUCUUACUGCAUGUAACGCAGCAGCUCCAAGGCCUAACAGUUCUCUUCUGACUAUAAUCUGAAGUCAUGUCUUGACAAUUAUUCUUGUCUCUCACUGUGACUCCUGCGGCUUUGUUUAUUCAAAAUGCUGCUGUGAAGGGGCCUUUCUCUGAUUUGUCAUUUUUACUCUUCCCUCACUUCUUAAAGUCUCUAGUUUUACAUUUCCUCUUUUACCGAACCAAAGACCAUUUUCUUCUCAAUCUUAGAAGGUAUUUGCAGUAUAAUCUUCCUUCAUACUGGCUUAUCCUAUUGCCAUGUCAGGAGGUUAACUUAUACCUUUCUUUUGUCACCCCUAGCAGACUCCUUUUGAUCCCUCUGAGAAGCAAAAGUUACUUCUUUCUGAGAGCAUGGAAAGGCUUUCAGAAAGAAUUGCACAGCUUUUUGAUGGAAAAUUCUUUCCUUUGGUACCACAUGCUUCCUGCUGUCUUUUAUACAGACAUGAAAAUAAAGGAUUAAAUAGCCCAGUGA